GACGAACGCUGGCGGCGUGCUUAACACAUGCAAGUCGAACGGAAAGGCCCUGCUUUUGUGGGGUGCUCGAGUGGCGAACGGGUGAGUAACACGUGAGUAACCUGCCCUUGACUUUGGGAUAACUUCAGGAAACUGGGGCUAAUACCGGAUAGGAGCUCCUGCUGCAUGGUGGGGGUUGGAAAGUUUCGGCGGUUGGGGAUGGACUCGCGGCUUAUCAGCUUGUUGGUGGGGUAGUGGCUUACCAAGGCUUUGACGGGUAGCCGGCCUGAGAGGGUGACCGGCCACAUUGGGCCUGAGAUGCGGCCCAGACUCCUACGGGAGGCAGCAGUGGGGAAUAUUGCACAAUGGGCGGAAGACUGAUGCAGCAACGCCGCGUGCGGGAUGACGGCCUUCGGGUUGUAAACCGCUUUCGCCUGUGACGACGCGUGAGUGACGGUAAUGGGUAAAGAAGCACCGGCUAACUACGUG
rnacentral:rRNA from 1 species